rnacentral:rRNA from 1 species
GCUACGGGUGGCAGCAGUGAUGAAUAUUGGUCAAUGGCCGAAAGUCUGAACCAGCCAAGCCGCGUGAAGGACGAAGGUGCCAAGCGUUGUAAACUUCUUUUGUCAAGGGACAAAAUCAGACUCGAGAGCCUGACCGAGGGUACUUGAAGAAAAAGCAUCGGCUAACUCCGUGCCAGCAGCCGCGGUAAUACGGGGGAUGCGAGCGUUAUCCGGAUUUAUUGGGGUUAAAGGGUGCGUAGGCGGUCUGUUAAGUCAGCGGUAAAAGGCCGGGGUCCAACCCAGGCGAGCCGUUGAAACUGGCUGUCUUGAGAUGUCGAGAGGUAUGCGGAAUGCGCAGUGUAGCGGUGAAAUGCUUAGAUAUUGCGAAGAACUCCGAUUGCGAAGGCAGCAUACCGGCGGCGAUCUGACGCUGAGGCACGAAAGCGUGGGUAUCGAACAGGAUUAGAUACCCUAGUAGUC